UACGAAUGGAAUGCCACGAAGCAG
rnacentral:piRNA from 1 species